rnacentral:lncRNA from 1 species
CGGGGGAUAGAGACUGAGGGAAAGAGAGGCCGAGGGCCAUAGUGACAAUGGGACAUAAAGAGUGACAGAGAUUCAUUGGGCUACAGAAAUGUUGGGACAGAGAGGCUGAGAGGCAUAGUAGCUGCGCUGUAUAGAGUCAGAGUCUACAGGGUGGGGGCUACCCAAGCUACAUAGACACAGAGUGGUCACGGGGCGUAUAGAAGCUGAGCUGAAUAGACACACAGGCCUCAGAAGACAUAGAGCCUCGGUGGUAGAGACAUAGAGGCCAAGCUUUCUGCUGACCUUGACUAUCCGUCUCCCCUGCCAACAGGCCCUGUCACAAAGAAUGACCCAUUGGCCCAACCCAAUUGGCACCUGAACAGAGACCAGAGUAAGGAGAAAAGGGUUCGGCAACAGUUCCCAAAUUAGGAGGCACCAUAUUUUCUCCAAUACAUUCGAGUAUAUUCUGGUCUCCUUGGUCUUUUGGCAGAGGAAGGUGAUGGUCCGUCUUGGGUUCCCGAGAGUCUUGUCAAACACUCCCAGAUCACAAAAGCGAUGGCUGCAUCACAGGCGCCAGAAGUUGAGGGUGCAGAAGAUGAUGAGUUUCAAGGCACAGCAGAGCCCAAAGCGUCCUAUCCAGUCUACCCAGAAGCGUCUGUUCCAGACUUGGAAACAGAUUAAACACUUUACUGCUGAAGGCAUUCAAGUGGUCAAGGCCAAAGGGCAACGUAUUUCUCCUACUCGCUUAGUUUCAGCAUUUCUGUCAUUAUUCUCUGUCCCGUUGGCAGAAAGUGUGGGGGUCUACUGGGCUUAGGUGCCUGAUCCUGCUUUGGCCCACCCAGUCACUUGGGAGGAUUCAGCAACUGGAGUGUUUACUAAUUAUAUAGUGGUUUUGACAGUCCUGAUAUUUCUCAUGUGCUGCCUUGCACUGUGCUCUCAUCCAUCGUUCCCAUUUGUCAUUGGUGAGUCACUAUGCAUGUGUCCCUCUAAUCCAAGUGAUCCAAAAAACUUGUCUUUGGGGUACAGGAGAGUUUUCUAAACAUCAUCAGUUCGCCCAUCAAUUUAGUUUUCCAGUCUCUAAUCAUUCACAAGUUACCCCAUUGGAUGGAUGUGUCCAAGUAUGCAAUGAGAAUCCUGUGCCCUGGUUUCCAGAAUGGAAUUCCCAUGCCAUGGUUCUAAAGAAUUCUGUGCCUCUGAAUGGAUGACCUAAGGUGCUUGUCGACUUGUCUUAGAGGUGGCCACCUGGCCUGGAUGAAGAUAACUUAGGUGCCCAGGGCCAUGUAGGAGGAAUGGCAAAUGGCUUUAGAACUCAUGGAAUUUGGCUCACAGGUUACCACAGUCACAUGGGUGAGCCUUGGUGUGGUAAAGCCCCAAGGACCACGUGCCCUGAGGACUUUAUGCUGUUACAGAGUUCUGCUCUGCUUGCUGCCCUCAUAUCCCUCUUCAUCUAAGAACUGUAUGAAAACUUUAAGGGGGCUUCCAGCCCCUCACUGGGCAGUAUCUCUGGCACUCACAGUACAAAUGUUUGGUCUCUUUCAGGCACUGCUGCUGGAGCAGAUUAAUGAUUCUAUCACCACCCUAGGAAAGAACUUAGAGAUGCAGAUUGUCAGCAGUUACCACGAUUCUUAGAAAACAUUUGGAAAAAUAAAGUUGUUGGUGAAACUAGGUUGAGAUAUUUUUGAUACUGGCUGAUAUAAAAUAAUCUUAGGAAACAAUCUGAAGUUCAGAAAGGCACACUCAUAUUAGUUAUGCUAGGGACCUAAAGGUCAGGGAACAAUGGCAGCACUGGCUGACGUGACUCUCACUGAGGCUGGACUGGUGGUAAUUGACUUCUUAUUCUCAGUUUUGCCCUCAGCUUCCUGAUACAGUAUAAGAAUUGCUGAUGAAUAGAUAUGUAUUUUAAGGAUUUAUGAUAGAUAUGACUGCUUUUCAUAUAAAAGUUUAGAUUUGUGAUUCUUUUAAGAUUCUCACAAUAUUACUUUAAAGAUAAAUAAUAAAAUAACUACUCUUUUCUUUGUAACCACAAAUUGCAUCCUGCCAGUAAGAGAAACUGGCUGAGCAAACUCCCUUGCUUACUCACACUUUGUUAAUCUAUAACAAGUUGCUUAGUUACGAAUGUAUGUGGCUUUGGGGGAAUAAUUUGUUUUCUUUACCUGUACUAUCUAAUGUUAUUUCUUGUAAAGGUAUUGGAAAACCCAUUGUAUUUUCAUAACCAUUUACUAGAAGAAAACUAAAACCUCAGCACAUUGUAAUUGUAUAUUGCUUGAAAGAUUUUGUUGGGAUGUAUAAGCUAUGGAAGA